rnacentral:rRNA from 1 species
CCUACGGGUGGCAGCAGUGAGGAAUAUUGGUCAAUGGACGAGAGUCUGAACCAGCCAAGUAGCGUGAAGGAUGACUGCCCUAUGGGUUGUAAACUUCUUUUAUAUGGGAAUAAAAUGUUCCACGUGUGGGAUUUUGUAUGUACCAUAUGAAUAAGGAUCGGCUAACUCCGUGCCAGCAGCCGCGGUAAUACGGAGGAUCCGAGCGUUAUCCGGAUUUAUUGGGUUUAAAGGGAGCGUAGGUGGGUUGUUAAGUCAGUUGUGAAAGUGUGCGGCUCACCCGUAAAAGUGCAGUUGAAACUGGCAGUCUUGAGUACAGUAGAGGUGGGCGGAAUUCGUGGCGUAGCGGUGAAAUGCGUAGA